rnacentral:rRNA from 1 species
AUAACCCCGGGAAACUGGGGAUAAUACCCCAUAGACUAUAGAUGCUGGAAUGCUUUGUAGUUGAAAGGUCCGCCGCCAUAGGAUGGGUCUGCGGCCGAUUAGGUUGUUGUUGGGGUAACGGCCCAACAAGCCUGUAAUCGGUACGGGUUGUGGGAGCAAGAGCCCGGAGAUGGAUUCUGAGACACGAAUCCAGGCCCUACGGGGCGCAGCAGGCGCGAAAACUUUACAAUGCGGGAAACCGUGAUAAGGGAACUCCGAGUGCCCGUAAAAUCGGGCUGUCCAUCUGUUUAAAUAACAGGUGAAGAAAGGGCCGGGCAAGACCGGUGCCAGCCGCCGCGGUAAUACCGGCGGCUCGAGUGGUGGCCACUAUUACUGGGCUUAAAGCGUUCGUAGCUGGUCUGUUAAGUCUCUGGGGAAAUCUACUGGCUUAACCAAUAGGCGUCUCAGGGAUACUGGCAGACUAGGGACCGGGAGAGGUGAGAGGUACUCCAGGGGUAGGAGUGAAAUCCUGUAAUCCUUGGGGGACCACCUGUGGCGAAGGCGUCUCACCAGAACGGCUCCGACAGUGAGGGACGAAAGCUGGGGGAGCAAACCGGAUUAGAUACCCGGGUAGUCCCAGCCGUAAACGAUGCGCGUUAGGUGUAUCGGUGACCACGAGUCACCGACGUGCCGAAGAGAAAUCGUGAAACGUGCCGCCUGGGAAGU